CCGUGCUAGAUGGGGAGGUAGCGGUGCCCUGUACCUGCAAUCCGCUAUAGCAGGAUUGAAUGCCUAUACUGAGGCUUAUACUUUGUAGGGCUGGCCUAAAUAAGUGGUGACGACGAUUGGGUCCUACGCAAUAGCACUCUAUGAACCCCGUCAGGUCCGGAAGGAAGCAGCGGUAAGUAGCUGUUGCUAUGUGCCGUAGGGAAGCCUGAUUCGAGCUAACUGUUUAGGUAUCGCCUAUGAAUAUAAGUCGAAUUUAGGGCACGG
rnacentral:SRP_RNA from 1 species